rnacentral:rRNA from 1 species
UCAGAGGGGGACAACAGUUGGAACCGACUGCUAAUACCGCAUACGAUCUAACCCUGGCAUCGAGGAUGGAUGAAAGGUGGCCUCUAUUUUUAAGCUAUCACUGAAGGAGGGGAUUGCGUCUGAUUAGCUAGUUGGAGGGGUAACGGCCCACCAAGGCGAUGAUCAGUAGCCGGUCUGAGAGGAUGAACGGCCACAUUGGGACUGAGACACGGCCCAGACUCCUACGGGAGGCAGCAGUGGGGAAUCUUCCGCAAUGGACGAAAGUCUGACGGAGCAACGCCGCGUGAGCGAUGACCGGCUUCGGGUUGUAAAGCUCUGUUAAUCGGGACGAAAGGCCUUCUUGCGAAUAGUGAGAAGGAUUGACGUACCGGAAUAGAAACC